AAGUCGAGCGCGAAAGUGACUUCGGUCAUGAGUAGAGCGGCGGACGGGUGAGUAACACGUGGAUAAUCUGCCUUUAGGACUGGGAUAACUCUGGGAAACUAGGGCUAAUACCGGAUAAGACCACAGGUUCCAUGGAACCAGGGGUAAAAGGCGGCCUUCGGGCUGUCACCGAAAGAUGAGUCCGCGUCCCAUCAGGUAGUUGGUGAGGUAACGGCUCACCAAGCCGAAGACGGGUAGCCGACCUUAGCGGGUGAUCGGCCACACGGGGACUGAGACACGGCCCCGACUCCUACGGGAGGCAGCAGUGGGGAAUCUUGGGCAAUGGGCGCAAGCCUGACCCAGCAAUACCGCGUGAGGGAUGAAGGCCUUCGGGUCGUAAACCUCUGUCAGUAGGAACGAUGGGUCUCCGGGCUAAUAUCCCGGAGACUUGACGGUACUUACAAAGGAAGCCCCGGCUAACUCCGUGCCAGCAGCCGCGGUAAUACGGAGGGGGCGAGCGUUGCUCGGAAUUACUGGGCGUAAAGGGUCCGCAGGUGGCCUCGUAAGUUAGAUGUGAAAUCUUAGGGCUUAACCCUGAAACUGCAUCUAAUACUGCAAGGCUUGAGUCCGGGAGAGGUUGGCGGAAUUCCAGGUGUAGCGGUGAAAUGCGUAGAUAUCUGGAGGAACACCAGUGGCGAAAGCGGCCAACUGGCCCGGUACUGACACUC
rnacentral:rRNA from 1 species